UACGGAGGGUGCGAGCGUUGUCCGGAAUCACUGGGCGUAAAGGGCUCGUAGGCGGCCAACUAAGUCAGACGUGAAAUCCCUCAGCUUAACUGGGGAACUGCGUCUGAUACUGGACGGCUUGGAUUCGGGAGAGGAAUGCGGAAUUCCAGGUGUAGCGGUGAAAUGCGUAGAUAUCUGGAGGAACACCGGUGGCGAAGGCGGCAUUCUGGACCGAUAUUGACGCUGAGGAGCGAAAGCCAGGGGAGCAAACGGG
rnacentral:rRNA from 1 species